rnacentral:rRNA from 1 species
UCGGAAACUGGGGAACUUGAGUGCAGAAGAGGACAGUGGAACUCCAUGUGUAGCGGUGAAAUGCGUAGAUAUAUGGAAGAACACCAGUGGCGAAGGCGGCUGUCUGGUCUGUAACUGACGCUGAGGCUCGAAAGUAUGGGUAGCAAACAGGAUUAGAUACCCUGGUAGUCCAUACCGUAAACGAUGAAUGCUAAGUGUUGGAAGGUUUCCGCCCUUCAGUGCUGCAGCUAACGCAUUAAGCAUUCCGCCUGGGGAGUACGGCCGCAAGGCUGAAACUCAAAGGAAUUGACGGGGGCCCGCACAAGCGG